rnacentral:rRNA from 1 species
GACGUAGGGGACGAGCGUUGUCCGGAUUCAUUGGGCGUAAAGGGUGCGUAGGCGGCGCGGUAAGUCGGGUGUGAAAUCUCGGGGCUUAACUCCGAAACUGCAUUCGAUACUGCCGUGCUUUAGGACGUGGAGAGGAGACUGGAAUUACGGUGUAGCGGUGAAAUGCGUAGAUAUCGUAAGGAAGACCAGUGGCGAAGGCGGGUCUCUGGACAGUUCCUGACGCUGAGGCACGAAGGCCAGGGGAGCAAACGGG